rnacentral:rRNA from 1 species
AUGGCGGCGGCGGCGGCGGCGACCACCAACGGCGACGAGGCGGCGGCGAAGGCCACCAGAGACAAAGAGGCAGCCGCCGAGGAGGCUUACCAGCGCGCGGAGUUGCUCUACCACGCCGGCAACUUCAUGGGGGCGUGUCGCCACGCCCAGAGGGCCCAGCAGCUCUUCCCGGCGCUCCCAGGCGUCGCGAACGCGCUCGCCGCCUACUCCAUCCACGCCGCCGCGGCCGCUGGCCGCCCCGGCCGCCCCAACUGGCAGGCCGUGCUCGCCUUGGAGAAGCAAGCCACCCCCACGCGCGACGCGAUCAGGAGGCAAUUCCUGCGGCUGUCUCUCCUCGUCCACCCUGACAAGAACCGCUCUGCCGCCGCCGAGGGCGCCUUCAAGAUCCUCCGCCAGGCGUGCGACACUGCCCUGAUGUUUGCCGGCGACCGGAAGGACGCCUCCGCUACCGCGCCGCAGUCGUCCAGACCGCGCAGCUCUGCCGCCGGCGACACCAAUGCCGACACAAACAGAAACAGGCCGCCUUCCGGCGCCGAACACAGGCCGUGCCAGUCUACCGCCGGCGACACCAAUGCUGGCCCAAACAGAAAUAGUCCGCCUGCCGGCGCCCAACACAGGCCGCGCAGGUCUACCGCCGGCGACACCAAUGCUGACACAAACAGAAACAGUCCCCCUGCCGGCGCCCAACACAGGCCGCGCCGGUCUGCCGCCGGCGACACUAAUGCCGACACAAACAGAAACAGUCCGCCUGCCGGCGCCCAACACAGGCCGCAGAGGUCUGCCGCCGGCGACACCAACGCCGACACAAACAGAAACAGGCCCCGCAGGUCUGCUGCGGGCGACACCGAUGCCGGCACAGGCAGAAACAGGCCACCUGCCGGCGCCAAAGGACACGGACAGCGCGGGUACCAGUCGAUCUACUGCUGGCACUGCAAGCGCGAAUUCGGGCGGCAGAUAGGCCCCGUCGAGGAGCUGGUGGGCACGGCGUGCCCACGGUGCAACAUGCGGCUGAGGCCGCCGUGGGAUAGGAAGACACUGCUGGAUUUCACCGUCCUGGAAGCGUUCGCACGCUGA